AUAAAAAAAAAUGCAAUAAAAACACUGCUUUGUUACCUACCAAAAUAAUGACUAUGCCUAAAGUCUAUAAAAAUAAAUCAUUUAUAUAUUUUUUCCAAGCUGUUUUGAUGACUUUGCACUUUUUCAAGUAAUCUGAUCUGAUGGCUUUGCACUUUUAGCUUUUGAGAAUAUUAAAAAUAUCUCCCAAGAAACUGGUGAAGAUUAGUAGUUGAGCUUUUAGCAAAAAUUAAAAGGCCUUUUAAAGGAAUCCAAUAUGUGAUAUGAGUGAAUACCUUAAAAUAAAAAGGGGUGAUAAUUUUUAGUAUAAUGAUACGAAAGCUACACACACAUAACAAAUUAGCAAGCAUGUGCAAAUGCAUGUUUUUAUUUUCUUUUGCCAGUCCUCAGGCUUGAACUCAGAGCCUUAGCACUGAGUGUCCCUGGCUUCUUUUUGCUCAAGGGUAACACUCUUACCACUUGAGCCACAGUGUUACUUCCGGCUUUUUCUGUUUAUGUGAUACAGAGGAAUCAAAUCCAGGGCUUCAUGCAUGCAAGGCAAGCACUCUACCGCUAAGCCAUAUUCCAGCCCCAAAUGCAUGUUUUUAAAACAGAUUGCUUGUAGAAAAAAGUUAAGUAUUUUUAUAUAGCCUAGCAGUAAAUUCUGGCUUGCCCAAUACCUGAGGUCAAUGUUUCACUUGGGCUGAUUUAACACACACACUCCCUCCCUCUCCAUAAAAAGGACUGAGGACAUGUCUUAAGUAGUACUGACCUGCCUCAUAAGUAUAAGGCCCCUGGUUCAGACCCCAGUACCUCCUAUAUGCAUAUGUAUGUUCUGUUAACUUAAUGUAUUAGAAUUCUACUUUUUACUUUCAUUAAGUGGCUUGGCUUGGAUAAAA